rnacentral:rRNA from 1 species
CCCUUAGAUGUUCUGGGCCGCACACGCGCUACACUGAAGGAGGCAGCGUGUACUCCUGGAUCGAAAGAUUUGGGUAACCCGCGAAUCUCCUUCGUGCUAGGGAUUGAGGUUUGCAAUUAUCCUUCAUGAACGAGGAAUUCCCAGUAAGUGCAAGUCAUAAGCUUGCGCUGACUACGUCCCUGCCCUUUGUACACACCGCCCGUCGCUACUACCGAUUGAAUGAUUUAGUGAGGACUUCGGACUGCAGCACUGCUUGGUCUCCAGGCUUUGCAGCGGAAAGUUUAGUGAACCUUAUCACUUAGAGGAAGGAGAAGUCGUAACA